GAUGAGAACGCAGCGAAAUGCGAUAAGUAAUGUGAAUUGCAGAAUUCAGUGAAUCAUCGAAUCUUUGAACGCACAUUGCGCCCUCUGGUAUUCCGGGGGGCAUGCCUGUUCGAGCGUCAUUAUAACCACUCAAGCUCUCGCUUGGUAUUGGGGCUCGCGGUUCCGCGGCCCCUAAAAUCAGUGGCGGUGCCUGUCGGCUCUACGCGUAGUAAUACUCCUCGCGAUUGAGUCCGGUAGGUCUACUUGCCAGCAACCCCCAAUUUUUACAGGUUGACCUCGGAUCAGGUAGGGAUACCCGCUGAACUUAAGCAUAUCAAUAAGCGGAGGA
rnacentral:misc_RNA from 1 species